UACGUAGGGCGCAAGCGUUGUCCGGAAUUAUUGGGCGUAAAGAGCUCGUAGGCGGUUUGUCGCGUCUGCUGUGAAAGCCCGGGGCUCAACCCCGGGUCUGCAGUGGGUACGGGCAGACUAAAGUGCAGUAGGGGAGACUGGAAUUCCUGGUGUAGCGGUGAAAUGCGCAGAUAUCAGGAGGAACACCGAUGGCGAAGGCAGGUCUCUGGGCAUUAACUGACGCUGAGGAGCGAAAGCAUGGGGAGCGAACAGG
rnacentral:rRNA from 1 species